rnacentral:rRNA from 1 species
GAAUUCGAUUCGGUGUGACAAGGCCCGGGAACGUAUUCACCGCAGCGUAGCUGAUCUACGGUUACUAGCGAUUCCGACUUCAUGAAGGCGAGUUGCAGCCUUCAAUCCGAACUGAGAGAGGGUUUGUGAGAUUAGCUUGCCCUCGCGGGUUCGCGACUCGUUGUCCCCCCCAUUGUAGCACGUGUGUAGCCCGGGACGUAAGGGCCAUGCUGACUUGACAUCAUCCCCACCUUCCUCCGGCUUGUCACCGGCGGUCCCGCGUGAGAGAUCUUGCGACCAACACACGGCAAGGGUUGUGCUCGUUGCGGGACUUAACCCAACACCUCACGGCACGAGCUGACGACAGCCAUGCAGCACCUGUCUCUGCGUCCGGUUGCCCGGAAACUUAGUCUCCUAAGUGUGCGCAGGAUGUCAAGCCCCGGUAAGGUUCUUCGCGUUAAUCACUA